GGGGGAAACCUUGAUCCAGCAAUGCCGCGUGAGUGAAGAAGGCCUUCGGGUUGUAAAGUNUUUUGUCAGGGAAGAAACACCGGCUCUAACACAGUCCGGGAAUGACGGUACCUGAAGAAUAAGCACCGGCUAANUACGUGCCAGCAGCCGCGGUAAUACGUAGGGUGCGAGCGUUAAUCGGAAUUACUGGGCGUAAAGCGUGCGCAGGCGGUUAUACAAGACAGGCGUGAAAUCCCCGGGCUUAACCUGGGAAUGGCGCCUGUGACUGUAUAGCUAGAGUGUGUCAGAGGGGGGUANAAUUCCACGUGUAGCAGUGAAAUGCGUAGAUAUGUGGAGGAAUACCAAUGGCGAAGGCAGCCCCCUGGGAUAACACUGACGCUCAUGCACGAAAGCGUGGGGAGCAAACAGGAUUAGAUACCCUGGUAGUCCACGCCCUAAACGAUGCUGACUAGUUGUUCGGGAUUUACAUCCUGAGUAACG
rnacentral:rRNA from 1 species